rnacentral:misc_RNA from 1 species
UGGUGGAGCGCUUCAUCAA